AAGUCGUAACAAGGUUUCCGUAGGUGAACCUGCGGAAGGAUCAUUAACACGUAUCCACGUAUCAACCAAUGAGAACUCAUUUCACCUCUCCCUAUGCUGAGAAUGAAUUGGCAACUUGAUAUAGGCGAUAGACUGGGCUGCCGCAAGGCGCCGACCUAUAGAAGUCACUUAUUAAAGCGAAAGUUUUAAUAGACAAUUGUAUUUCAGUAUUAGGCUUCGUUUCUUCGAUUUGAUUCCUAUCUAUAAUCGUGUUGAAGAAACACUAUAUUAACCAAUUUCACCCCUUUUUGCUAGUUGACUUUUAUAUGUUGUUCUUUGCGUAAGCAAGGUUCACACGUUUAAUUAUUUGAACGUUAAAAAUACAACUCUUAGCAAUGGAUAUCUAGGUUCUC
rnacentral:misc_RNA from 1 species